CCUACGGGUGGCAGCAGUGAGGAAUAUUGGUCAAUGGGCGAGAGCCUGAACCAGCCAAGUCGCGUGAAGGAUGAAGGCUCUAUGGGUUGUAAACUUCUUUUAUAAAGGAAUAAAGUGAGGCACGUGUGCCUUUUUGUAUGUACUUUAUGAAUAAGCAUCGGCUAACUCCGUGCCAGCAGCCGCGGUAAUACGGAGGAUCCGAGCGUUAUCCGGAUUUAUUGGGUUUAAAGGGUGCGUAGAUGGUUUGUUAAGUCAGUUGUGAAAGUUUGCGGCUCAACCGUAAAAUUGCAAUUGAUACUGGCAGCCUUGAGUACAGUUGAGGUAGGCGGAAUUCGUGGUGUAGCGGUGAAAUGCUUAGAUAUCACGAAGAACUCCGAUUGCGAAGGCAGCUUACUAAACUGCCACUGACAUUGAUGCUCGAAAGCGUGGGUAUCAAACAGGAUUAGAUACCCUUGUAGUC
rnacentral:rRNA from 1 species